UGCUAGAUCUAUUUAUGUAACUAUCAUAUACACUAAAUCAAUCUAAGGAAAAAUGUUCCUCAAAUAUUCUUAUCUCUCUCUCUUGGAUUCUCUCACAUAUCUCUCUUAGUUCUUCACCAAAAUCUCUCAAAUAAUUCUCAUAAACUCUCAUUAAUUUUCAUAAUUCAACAAUGAUGCUGAUGGAAAAGAAAUAGAGGCCAUUCAGUUUUUUAUACUGAUCUAAUGUAUAAUAUGGAUUGUAGAUGUCGUGAUCUUGUUUGAGUUAAGAAAAAAAAUAUCUUUUGCAUGUGGAUGAUGUUGAUCAAUACAUAGAAAUGUAAAUGAUGUAACUAUGAUAUCUAUGGGUUUGGAGUUUGAACUGAGAGGUAAUUUCUUUUAUAUUUGAAAUGAUGGAAUUUGAACAAGAAUUGAUCGACGAUUUAAAUGUAUGAUCUGAAAGGUAGAAGUUUUGAUCUUUUUUAGUUUAACAUAGAUCUAGUAUGUAUGUGGAUGAUCUUGAUCAAUACAUAAAAUGAUGUAGUUAUUAUAUCUUUGAGUUUGAAGUUUGAAUAUAAAUGUACUGGAUUAUACUUGGGAUGCGACUUUAACAAGAAUUAAUCUUGGGUGAUCAAGAUAUAUGCUGUAGAGAAGAAAAGUCUACAUGAAAGAGAAGUUACAUGAAAGGGAAGUGAAAGAGGAGAAAGAGCCUCCCCGGUUGUGAGGAAACCGAACUGCCGAAAAGGCUGAGCGAAAGUUAACGCGGCGGAGAGACUCUUGCGAUCAAUACUUGGAACUGUACGUCAACCAUUUCAGCGACUCGUGGACUGAAGUGAUGAUCACUGACUCAUAGAUUGAAAUGAUGAUCUUGGAUUGAGUAACUACAAGAAGUCAACAAAAGCGUGGUUGUCAAAGAAUCUAUCAGCACAAGCUAACGUGGGUUAUGACGCACUCACCAUUACUCUUGAGACUUUCGAGAGUCUGACAAGUGCCACUCACCGCUUGUUUCCAGUGGCUUAAGGUGCUUCUUGGGGAUUGAGGAAAGAGCACGAGACAUAUUCUUCUUCAUAGUAAAUAUAGGACAUGCUUUAAAGAUUUGUGAAUACAACUUGAGGUUUAGGGUUGAUGCUGGAUCUGGAACAUUUUGUUGUCGCUUCAAAUGGAGACGACUGAAAGGGCGUUGUAGGCUUAUAUUGUUCCGUGAACCUGUAUACCGAGAGACAGGGCAAACGAUCUGACAAAUUUAGAGAUAUUAAAGUAUGAAGGACAUUUGUAACCAAGCAAUGCCAUGCAUGAUAUUCAAGCACUUGUCAAGCUAGUGCGAGUUAGUUUAUAGGGAACACCGUUAUUUGACAUAAGAAGUUGUUCACAUUUGUAGUCGUGCCUUAACACAAUGCGUUCAUCUGAGAAACUGAGAAAAAGACGCUUAACCAAGAGCAUCGAGCUGUGAAAGGGAGAAGAUGGGUAGACAGUUUCUGAUAAUCAUCAGGCAAGACAAUAUUACUACUCAUGUCUGACUCUUGACCUGUUUUGCUUUUUCUUCCUUCUUAUGCACAUUUUUCUUUGUUUCUUUGAAUCUUGGUACUGUCUUAGCUCAUGUCAUCUUUGGAUUUCUUGGCUGUGAUAUUAUCUUAAGAACAAGAAUCAGGUGCGUUGUAUGAAUGGUGACUGUGAUGCUCUAUUGUAUGAGAGAUAGGAACUUGAACCAUCUCAUGAUUUUCAUUGCAGCAUUCAUGAUCUAUGCGAGCCUAAUAACUGGGGAUCCUCUAUUUCUAAUUUUCCGUUUUGUGCCCCCAAUUUUGGUAUUUGUUUGCUUGUGAGAUCAUUAUGCAUUGGCGUGUAGCCCUUUAGAUCCCACCCUUAUAGCUACUGGAGAUGGAGAUGAUAAAGCCUUUCUAUCGAAACGGACUGGGCUGCUGAGCUUCUAGGUCACGAAGACUCUGUUUCUUCUCUAGCUUUUAGCUACGACGGACAGUUAGUUGCCUCUGGAGGGUUGGAUGGUGGUGUUGUUCAGAUCCUCGAUGCAUCAUCAGGGACUUCGAAAUGUGUUUUGGACGGUCCUGGUGCUGGCAUUGAGGUAUACAAACCCUUGCAACAACAAGAACAGCGUCAU